rnacentral:misc_RNA from 1 species
CCAAGAAUAUGUCGGUCACGAGGUGGCGGAAGCGGAAUUGCUCGGUCAUUUGGACUACCUCAACCAAAGGGAAUUUAUCAAAGCGGAUUUUAGUGGACAGCCUUACGGAGGAGCUGAGUUAUUGCCGCCUUUAGUG